CGGGGGGGGCAAGCGUUGUUCGGAAUUACUGGGCGUAAAGGGCUCGUAGGCGGCCAACUAAGUCAUACGUGAAAUCCCUCGGCUUAACCGGGGAACUGCGUCUGAUACUGGAUGGCUUGAGAUUGGGAGAGGGAUGCGGAAUUCCAGGUGUAGCGGUGAAAUGCGUAGAUAUCUGGAGGAACACCGGUGGCGAAGGCGGCAUCCUGGACCAACACUGACGCUGAGGAGCGAAAGCCAGGGGAGCAAACGGGAUUAGAUACCCCGGUAGUCCUGGCCCUAAACGAUGAAUGCUUGGUGUGACGGGUAUCGAUCCCUGUCGUGCCGAAGCUAACGCAUUAAGCAUCCCGCCUGGGGAGUACGGUCGCAAGGCUG
rnacentral:rRNA from 1 species